AUGAUAAUAAAUUUAUUUUCUUCCUUUGAUCCUUCAUCUAAUUUUAAUUUAUCUUUAAACUGAUUAAGAUCCCUGAUUGGCUUACUAAUUAUUCCCCCUUUAUUUUGAGCUAUUCCCUCACGACUUAGAAUAUUUUGAAUAAAAAUUAUUUUUUCAUUACACACUGAAUUUAAAACACUAAUAUCUACUAAAUAUCAGGGUAGAACUAUUAUAUUUGUAUCAUUAUUUUCAUUUAUUCUUUUUAAUAAUUUUUUAGGGUUAUUUCCCUAUAUUUUUACUUCAACGAGUCACUUAAUUCUUACAUUAGCUUUAGCCCUUCCUAUAUGAAUUAGAUUUAUAAUUUACGGGUGAAUAAAUAAUACUAUUCAUAUGUUUGCCCAUCUAAUACCUCAAGGGACACCCCCAAUUCUUAUACCUUUUAUAGUAUGUAUUGAAUCUAUUAGAAAUAUUAUUCGCCCUGGUACACUCGCUAUUCGUCUCUCUGCUAAUAUAAUUGCAGGCCACCUAUUAAUGACACUACUUGGUAAUACAGGACCUUCCUUAUCUUUAAUAAUCUUAAAUAUUUUAUUAAUUAUUCAAAUUUUACUUUUAAUUCUUGAGUCGGCAGUUUCUAUUAUUCAAUCUUAUGUAUUUACUGUUCUAAGUACUCUUUAUUCUAGAGAAAUUCAUUAAUGUCAAUACUUAAAAAUCACCCCUUUCAUCUUGUUGAUAUUAGUCCAUGACCAAUUUUAGGAUCUUUUAGGGCUAUGAUUACCUUAUUAGGAUUAGUCAAAUGAUUCCACCUAUUCAAAUUAGACCUAUUUUUAUGAGGACUAAUAAUUAUACUAUUAGUUAUAUACCAAUGAUGACGAGAUGUCGUUCGAGAAAGAACAUUCCAAGGACAUCAUACGCUGAAAGUUACCUUAGGCUUACGUUGAGGAAUAAUUCUUUUUAUUAUUUCAGAAAUUUUUUUUUUUAUUUCAUUUUUUUGAGGAUUUUUUCAUAAUGCUUUAGCUCCUAGAAUUGAAAUUGGUAUGAUAUGACCUCCUAAAGGAAUCCAAACUUUCAAUCCUUUAGAAAUUCCAUUAUUAAAUACAUUAAUUCUUUUAACCUCUGGAUUGACAGUUACAUGGGCCCAUCACAGUCUAAUAGAUAAUAAUUAUAAUCAAGCAAUUCAAAGAUUAUCAUUAACAGUUAUACUCGGUAUUUAUUUUACUAUCUUACAAGCUUAUGAAUAUUUAGAAGCCCCAUUUACUAUUGCUGACUCAAUUUAUGGAUCUUCUUUUUUUAUAGCAACAGGAUUCCACGGUCUUCAUGUAAUAAUUGGAACAACCUUUUUAUUUGUUUGUCUAAUCCGACAUUAUUUUCUUCAUUUCUCUUCCUACCAUCAUUUUGGAUUCGAAGCAGCAGCAUGAUACUGACAUUUUGUAGACGUAGUUUGACUAUUUUUAUAUAUUUCUAUUUAUUGAUGAGGUAGAUAUUUGUAUAAUAUAAUUAUUAUAUUUGACUUCCAAUCAAAAAAUCUAAAUCCUAGUACAAAUAAUUUUUAUUAUUUUUAUAAUUACCGUAAUAAUUUUUUUUAUCCUUUUUAUUUUAACUAUUAUUUUAAAUUUAUCAUCGAAAAAAAGUUUCUCAGACCGAGAAAAAAGAAGGCCUUUUGAAUGCGGAUUUGAUCCUAAAUCUACUGCCCGACUUCCAUUCUCAUUACAAUUUUUUUUAAUUGCUAUUAUUUUUUUGAUUUUUGAUGUUGAAAUUACUCUUUUACUACCAAUAAUUCUAGUUAUACCAUGAAGAAACGUAUUUAAUUAUUCUCUAAUUUUAAAUUUUUUUAUUAUAAUUUUAAUUAUUGGAUUAUUUCAUGAAUGAAAUCAAGGAGCUUUGAACUGAGCCUAUU